rfam:Schistosoma curassoni strain Dakar, Senegal genome assembly, scaffold: SCTD_contig0000020
AUCCAGCUGACGAGUCCUAAAUAGGAUGAGACACGUGUCCUGAAU